rnacentral:rRNA from 1 species
AUUGAACGCUGGCGGCAGGCCUAACACAUGCAAGUCGAGCGAGUGGCGGACGGGUGAGUAAUGUAUGGGGACCUGCCCGAUGGAGGGGGAUAACUACUGGAAACGGUGGCUAAACCCGCAUACCAUCGGAUGAACCCAGAUGGGAUUCGCUUGUAGGUGGGGUAAAGGCUCACCUAGGCGACGAUCCCGAGCUGGUCUGAGAGGAUGAACAGCCCCACUGGGACUGAGACACGGCCCAGACGCCGACGGGAGGCAGAAGUGGGGAAUAUUGCAAAAGGGGGGCAAGCCUGAUGCGGCCAGGCCGGGUGGAUGAGGAAGGCCUUGGGGUUGUAAGGUACGUUCAGCGGGGAGGCGGUACCCGCAGAAGAAGCACCGGCUAACUCCGUGCCAGCAGCCGCGGUAAUUC